GACGAACCGUCCGAACGUUAUUCGGUAUCACUGGGCUUAAAGCGUGCGUAGGCGGCCUGGUAGGUGAGAUGUGAAAGCCCACGGCUCAACCGUGGAAUUGCGUUUCAAACCACCAGGCUUGAGGAUGGCAGGGGUGAUGGGAACUGAUGGUGGAGCGGUGAAAUGCAUUGAUAUCAUCAGGAACACCGGUGGCGAAGGCGCAUCACUGGGCCAUUUCUGACGCUGAGGCACGAAAGCUAGGGCAGCGAACGGGAUUA
rnacentral:rRNA from 1 species